rnacentral:sRNA from 1 species
UCUGCAGAUGAGCAGGCAUCCACAGGGUGAGCUUUCCCCACAUCGCCAGGACCAUGUGUCUCAAUCCUGACCUGGAGGGACCACCCCUAUCGG